rnacentral:lncRNA from 1 species
AGUGUAUUGUUUGUUACAUGGACUGAAACUAUUCUCGUGUCAAUGUAAUGAGAAAUGACUGAGAUAAUAGCCAAAAACUAGUUUUUUUUAUAUUAAUUUUGUAACCACCUUUUUGAGACUUCUGCACCAGGUAUGAACAAGUUACUACUUUGAGUGUAUUCAUUAAGGCCUCUUAUAUAGACUGUUUAUGGUUUCAUUUUUCUAGAUGCUAUGUUUCAAAAUGAGAACUGAGUAGUGAAAGAAUAGGUUAUUUACCAAGAAACACAAGCAGGAUUUCAGUGGCAUUGAUGAGACAUUGUUACAUGAUUGUAAAGCUUUAUAUUUAUGCUACCACAGAGAACUAUCAAGAUAGAGAUGAUGUACAUUACAGUAUGUACUGUAUGGUGAUACAUUAAAAUUUGUUGAAGGACUCAUAAUAAUAAUCAAUCUAUUGG